rnacentral:rRNA from 1 species
UACGAAGGGGGCUAGCGUUGUUCGGAAUUACUGGGCGUAAAGCGCACGUAGGCGGACUAUUAAGUCAGGGGUGAAAUCCCGGGGCUCAACCCCGGAACUGCCCUUGAUACUGGUAGUCUCGAGUCCGGAAGAGGUGAGUGGAAUUCCGAGUGUAGAGGUGAAAUUCGUAGAUAUUCGGAGGAACACCGGUGGCGAAAGCGGCUUACUGGGUCUCUUCUGACGCUGAGGCACGAAAGCUAGGGUAGCGAACGGG